GCCAGGAGUGGUGGUGUACACCUGUAAUCCCAGUGACUCAGGAGGCUGAGGCAGGAGGAUCACAAGUUUGAGACCAACUUAGCAAGGCCCUAAGCAACUUAAUGAGACCCUGCCUCAA
rnacentral:sRNA from 1 species